ACGAACGCUGGCGGCGUGCCUAAUACAUGCAAGUCGAACGCUUCUUUUUCCAUCGGAGCUUGCUCCACCGGAAAAAGAGGAGUGGCGAACGGGUGAGUAACACGUGGGUAACCUGCCCAUCAGAAGGGGAUAACACUUGGAAACAGGUGCUAAUACCGUAUAACAAUCGAAACCGCAUGGUUUUGAUUUGAAAGGCGCUUUCGGGUGUCGCUGAUGGAUGGACCCGCGGUGCAUUAGCUAGUUGGUGAGGUAACGGCUCACCAAGGCGACGAUGCAUAGCCGACCUGAGAGGGUGAUCGGCCACAUUGGGACUGAGACACGGCCCAAACUCCUACGGGAGGCAGCAGUAGGGAAUCUUCGGCAAUGGACGAAAGUCUGACCGAGCAACGCCGCGUGAGUGAAGAAGGUUUUCGGAUCGUAAAACUCUGUUGUUAGAGAAGAACAAGGAUGAGAGUAACUGUUCAUCCCUUGACGGUAUCUAACCAGAAAGCCACGGCUAACUACGUGCCAGCAGCCGCGGUAAUACGUAGGUGGCAAGCGUUGUCCGGAUUUAUUGGGCGUAAAGCGAGCGCAGGCGGUUUCUUAAGUCUGAUGUGAAAGCCCCCGGCUCAACCGGGGAGGGUCAUUGGAAACUGGGAGACUUGAGUGCAGAAGAGGAGAGUGGAAUUCCAUGUGUAGCGGUGAAAUGCGUAGAUAUAUGGAGGAACACCAGUGGCGAAGGCGGCUCUCUGGUCUGUAACUGACGCUGAGGCUCGAAAGCGUGGGGAGCAAACAGGAUUAGAUACCCUGGUAGUCCACACGAUAAACGAUGAAUACUCGCUGUUUGCGAUAUACAGUAAGCGGCCAAGCGAAAGCGUUAAGUAUUCCACCUGGGGAGUACGCCGGCAACGGUGAAACUCAAAGGAAUUGACGGGGGCCCGCACAAGCGGUGGAGCAUGUGGUUUAAUUCGAAGCAACGCGAAGAACCUUACCAGGUCUUGACAUCCUUUGACCACUCUAGAGAUAGAGCUUCCCCUUCGGGGGCAAAGUGACAGGUGGUGCAUGGUUGUCGUCAGCUCGUGUCGUGAGAUGUUGGGUUAAGUCCCGCAACGAGCGCAACCCUUAUUGUUAGUUGCCAUCAUUUAGUUGGGCACUCUAGCAAGACUGCCGGUGACAAACCGGAGGAAGGUGGGGAUGACGUCAAAUCAUCAUGCCCCUUAUGACCUGGGCUACACACGUGCUACAAUGGGAAGUACAACGAGUCGCAAAGUCGCGAGGCUAAGCUAAUCUCUUAAAGCUUCUCUCAGUUCGGAUUGUAGGCUGCAACUCGCCUACAUGAAGCCGGAAUCGCUAGUAAUCGCGGAUCAGCACGCCGCGGUGAAUACGUUCCCGGGCCUUGUACACACCGCCCGUCACACCACGAGAGUUUGUAACACCCGAAGUCGGUGAGGUAACCUUUUGGAGCCAGCCGCCUAAGGUGGGAUAGAUGAUUGGGGUG
rnacentral:rRNA from 1 species